rnacentral:lncRNA from 1 species
GGUAGUGCCCGGGUCCUCACAGGUUUUAUACUCCACACCUACAUCAGAGAAGCAAGCUUAUGAGGAAAAGGAAAAGCAGGCAGCACGGGAAUACAGUCUAGGGGGAAGCCUUGCAACCCUGGGAAUAGCACAUGUCCCACACCAGCAAUCUGUAGAGAGACAUGAGGCCUCUCUGCAAGCUGCUCUUGCUCUGUAUCUUUCUUUUUAGGAGUAUCUGCAGAUUUGUACUACUAACCUACCUAGCCUCUGGGCAAGCUACGUGAUAGAAUAGGAAGGGAAUCCCUGCAUUUCGUCAUGUGGAAGUGGUUUAUAGGAGAGAAUUGGACUUCCCAAGUCCAAGCCCUCCCCCAGGACAGUUGGCGCAGCAAAAAUCCUUUGAAUAAAUGUCUCCCUUUUGGGUUGCUGCAUUCACACACACUAUUUUUUUACUAGACAUGAAAUAUUUGUCAUUGUUAAGAAGGCAUGGCAUUUAGUUUAUAAGCAUGUUCUCCUGGACAAUCCCAAAAGGGAAGUAUUGCUUCUUGAAAUGUUGUAAAGGAAAAUGCUUCCAGGAGUUGGCCUUUGAACUAAGUUUCUGCUUCAUUUAACCACUGGAUUUGACAGCAGUGGAGCUCCUAAUUUCUUUACAGAAUGAAACACUUUCAUUUCUGAUCAACAUAGGCUACGUGUAUUUGCAACACUGCAGGACAGUCCAUGGAAGAGCUGCUGAUAUUACAUGAGAUCUAAAUAAGCUGAGUACAGUAUGGAUUUCUGGGGACAACUGCAGAUCAUGGUCUAAUUAGGCAGAACACAAUGGGAAUAUUGAACAGCUGUUGUUACUGUGGAUGCAGCUAUAACCUCAACAAGCAGAACAGAAAAUACCAACCCCUCAAGCCUCAGGAAUGUUUCUUACCGGCAUCUGCAAUCCAAAAUGGAUGAGGGCAACCUGAGGCCAGCUCCGAGCCACCCCAGUGGAUCGGGCAUUUUCCACAGGGGUAGCACUUCAGUUAGCCAGAACUCUGCUUUUUGCAGCUGGAGAUGGAAUCGGGGCACGUGUGAGUACAAACGAUGCUGAGUUCACACACCUGAAGAAUGAAUUAACCUGCUAAAAUUUCCCAUGGGGCAGGUAGGGUGCAAGCUGAGAUGUGCCCAUGUAAGUUUGCUUUUAUGUGUGGCUCCUUCUCCGACACAGAUACCUAAAGGGUUGCAAGACUAGGCCACGCUCGAGGCCCGCCGGCUCUAUGCUGUUUGCAUUGAGCCCCUCCAUGAAGCUCAGCUGAUGUGUUUUAACAAAGACUUGGAGUCAUU